GGGGAACCUUCUGGCAUAACCAGUAAUGGCUGCAGCCGGUCCGGGCGGUGGAAGCAGCCUGGACCCCUUGAAGGAGUUUGGGAGCAGCGCCCUCGCCUUCGAGCGGGACACUGAGGGACUUCCCGGCAUGGAGAGCCUCCCCUGCGCCUUGUGACUGGAACAAAAAUGAAGGUUUGCUGGAGCGAGAAAAGCGGUUUGCAAGCCUGCCAGCAUCGCUGCAUCGCCGGCUCCGCUGAGCAACCUCACGGCUCCUCCCCGCGACUCAUUGUAGGUGGAUGGAUGCUGCGGGUGAACCUGAGCUUUCCAGCUGCUACGGGCUGGUUUUCCUGUGCAAACAAGCUGUCGAGCGUGUGCAGAUCGACAGGACAGCAGCCAAAAUGCUUCGGAGCCUGGUGAGCUGAGCCGCUGUCCCUGCCUGCACCACACUGACCGAGCAGCGACCAGCAGAGGCUGUGACCACGGGUCCCUCUGCCUUUAGAAAGGGCACGAACUCGCACUUGGAACAAGCCUGUGCCAGUCCUGACGUCCCAGAGCUCACUGGAGCGGCUGCUCCAAGAGUGGAGCAGCCUGGACUCCUGGAUCCAUAAGACAGAGCUGCUGUCGCUCCUGCCACGUCCUGCAGCGCGCUGGUACAGCCCUGGGGAAAACGUUAAUUGAGGAGCAAGAACAGCAACGCACAUCGCUGAUAGAUCUCCAAUAAAGCCUGACCUGUUGUUAACCAGUCCUCAGGUUGGUACAUGCUGCUGCUGAACUGGCGAAAAUUAUUCUGCCUCUAUAAAAAGGCAAAUCAAAACAUCUCAGUAACAUCCUGGAGCUCUUCCGGAGAAGCCUGCUCAAGGAACAGGGACCCCUUACACUUCUCUUGUUUUGUGACUCCUGCCUCAGACUGCUUUGAAAAGUAGAAGUGUCACUCUAUUCCAGCUGGAGACGGGAGAGCAGAGGCCGUCAGUCUGGGACGGGUGAGCCGCCAGAGCAGCUGCAGGUCCCAGCGUCUCUCAUGGCAUAGAGUGAAGGUUGGAAAUGCACAUUGCCGACUCCAAACACUGAAUCUUUGCUAGCUGAAAGACCAUGUCCUAUUGCUGACACCUUCCCGUGAGUGCCAGAGUUCACGUCAUUGCCUGUGUGCUCUACAGAGCAAGCGGAGCCUCGCUGCCAGAGGAGCGCACAACCCAAAGAUGGGGCAGAGUGGUUUUCUAUGUGACUUUUCUCCCGUCCCAUGAAGCGUUGUCCCUGCCUGCGCGUGUCCCUGGCUCCCCGCUGUGCUCUGCACAUCGCUGGUGCUCCCGGAGGCUCUGGGAAGUGGCCUGCAGCUGCUGCACAGGCGCGGCACACCCGCAUUGUGCUCCCUGUGACAAGCCAAGUGACACGAGGACAUUGUGGCCCAGGGAGAUGCUGACGGCACCCUGAGCUACAGGUAAUUUGGGGUGUAUCAGUUUUGAAGGGUUAGGGGCAGUCUUUGCCGGACGUGAUUUGUCUUACCUCAAUUCAGAAAGUGAUAUUCAUGUUAGGACAGGAAGAAACAAACUCAGUUGUCUGCCCAGAUCACUACAGACAGAGACCAGGCCAUGACCCACGGUCCAGCUCAACUGCUUCUGAGCUGGAGCAUUAAAACAACAGUUGAGUCAGAGAGUUGGCAGAAGAUCUCACUGUGGUUAUGGUGGGCACAGAGAGACUGGAAGUCUCAGCCAAGGACACGAGCAGCGACUGUGGCCGCCGAGCCGGCUGGUGCUGACCCACCCUGGGUGACACACCUGCCUGGGCCACAGCGCAGAUGUCACCGCACCCGUCCCCUUUGGCAACUGACUUUCCCUUGUCCCCUCGCCCCGCUGGCUGUUAGGGACGGUUGUGUCCCCCCAGCUCUGCGCUGGCAGACAGCGUUUCUGGAGCUCUCAUUUCCAAACAGCGCUGGGAUGCAUUAGCUUCCUCUCCCUUUCUGCUGUAACCACUUAUUUGGCUCUUGUUAUUAGAUUAUUUAUAGUAAUUCUGCAAAGUGUUGUGGAAUCAGUAGAAGGGCACGGUGCUAAAUACAAUAGCAUCACCUCGUGAGAUCUGACAUUUAAAAAGAGGGGAUCUAAUUACUGAAACCAAGGCAGACGGCAAAUGUCAGGAAAAGCCAGUGGCUGUUGCCUUGAUACCGCGACUCCUGUGGUCUGCAGCCUAGAGGAGCCGUUUGCAGCCCGUGGUUGCUCCCAUGGAGCACACGGCCCAGGAGGACAACUCUGUAACCCAGACCAUGCAACCUGUGCUGCUUUUUCAAACAUUGUCUGAAAGCAACAGCAUGAGGCUGUUCACGUUCCUGACUGACCGAUAAGCCCGCUGCCACCGUCGUUCCCACACCCAGACCCUUCUGCUCAAGUUGGGAGGGUCAGAUCCGUUUCUAGACCUGGCCCCAAGGUUUCCAGUCAGACCCAGUCUAAAGCGAAGUGCAGCUUUGCAGCCUGCUUUCUUCUUGCAGAGGGUUCCAGCGCAGAGCAUGUCCAAGCUGUCUGAAAUAGCGCAGCUGCCUAAAAGCUCAAGUUAAUAUUCAUGCUUCGUGCAGAAUUUCAAAUACAUCCACCUCUCAUCGGCAGCGUCAAACUGUCUUGACAGUUAAUGAGCUAGGCAAAGACUCUAAACCAGCAAGUUGUAACUGAAUAAAUAUGAUAAACAACCUGUUUCCAGAUGGCUUUUUAUGUAAAACUAUUUAUGCAGUGUUGAUAGAUGGCAAAUUUUACGCCAAUAAAUCCUCAUAUUUUAAAACA